ACCUACGGGAGGCAGCAGUAAGGAAUAUUGCACAAUGGAGGGAACUCUGAUGCAGCAACGCCGCGUGAAGGAUGAAGGUUUUCGGAUUGUAAACUUCUUUGAUUGGGGACGAAAGAAAUGACGGUACCCAAGGAACAAGCCACGGCUAACUACGUGCCAGCAGCCGCGGUAAUACGUAGGUGGCGAGCGUUGUCCGGAAUUACUGGGUGUAAAGGGCGUGUAGGCGGGAUGGUAAGUCAGAUGUGAAAUUCCAGGGCUUAACUCUGGGUGUGCAUCUGAAACUACUGUUCUUGAGUACUGGAGAGGGAAGCGGAAUUCCUAGUGUAGCGGUGAAAUGCGUAGAUAUUAGGAGGAACACCAGUGGCGAAGGCGGCUUUCUGGACAGUAACUGACGCUGAGGCGCGAAAGCGUGGGGAGCAAACAGGAUUAGAUACCCCAGUAGUCCC
rnacentral:rRNA from 1 species